AUUGAACGCUGGCGGCAGGCCUAACACAUGCAAGUCGAGCGGAUGAAGGGAGCUUGCUCCUGGAUUCAGCGGCGGACGGGUGAGUAAUGCCUAGGAAUCUGCCUGGUAGUGGGGGAUAACGUCCGGAAACGGGCGCUAAUACCGCAUACGUCCUGUGGGAGAACGUGGGGGUUCUUCGGACCUCACGCUAUCAGAUGAGCCUAGGGCGGAUUAGCUAGUUGGUGGGGUAAAGGCCUACUAAGGCGACGAUCCGUAACUGGUCUGAGAGGAUGAUCAGUCACACUGGAACUGAGACACGGUCCAGACGCCUACGGGAGGCAGCAGUGGGGAAUAUUAGACAAUGGGCGGAAGCCUGAUCCAGCCAUGCCGCGUGUGGGAAGAAGGUCUUCGGAGUGUAAGGCACUUUAAGUUGGGAGGAAGGGCAGUAAGUUAAUACUUUUCUGUUUUGACGUUACCAACAUAAGAAGCACCGGCUAACUUCGUG
rnacentral:rRNA from 1 species